UGAAAUUAAAACCGUGUUCGUGUGUUUUAAUUUCCUGCGUCGCAAAAGAUUCUGAUUGGUUGAUUCAAGGUCAACUAGGUACAAUUAUCACGGCUCGAGGAACUCUAUAAAGCUGAGUCGAAAAACCGACGCUUCACUUUAGUUGGAGUGCUUUUACGAAACGGUUUUGCUUUUUUCGAACAGUUUAAUUUCGGUGAAAAGUUUAAAGUGGAAUUAGUUCUGGUGAUUGUGAUACUUUUUCUGGAAAAGCACACUCUCAAGCUUUGAAGAAAUAGUUUCCCCUAGAACAAGCAAAGGUUAGGUGAACCCUUUGCACGUGUCAGGUUGCCCAUUAACGUGGGUGCAAGUCUCGGGGCAGAAAAGCCGUACAUUUCGUCGUUCGACGCUGGGAAAGCUUCGUUGGUCAGACUGGUGGAUGAUAACCACGACGGGGUCGUGACGAACCGUUUCAACCGCCUUAGUCAACUCCAACGACUCGGAGACGCAUCUACUCCGCCCACCCAGUUGACCCCACACGUCCUUUUCGAAGCAAUCCCAGAGCUUGGAGGAAGUUCCGAGCUUUCGAGCACGCCAAAAGCUCGCCGGCUGCCCAGCCGAUUCUAACCUCGCUUGCCCAACCGAAGGAAGUGCGAGGAACGAGACAAAAGCCUGACAGCAGCAGUACCAUCCGUCUCCACGGAUUCGAAACAACGUUGGACCGAGCGUCCCCAUCAAGAACGUCACCGUGCGACGGCCACGUGUAAACGUUGGUUCCGCUAGACGCCGCUUGGGGGCUGGAAGCCCAAAGCGCGGCGAAGAACGUGUCGACGCCGAUCGCUGUGCCACGUGUCCACGGCGGAGUACUGCUAGCCGCCGCUAGAGUGCGGUAGGGUUGCGCGAACGCACCGGAGCUGUUUGAUCGCUGAUCGUCGCAGUAGGUCCGGACCUAGGAGAAUCUUCACGCCGUUCAAGAACACCUGCAAGCAGUUGCUGGUACCAGAUUAGUAGGGUAAAGUACAGUGCACGACAAUAGGGAAUAGUUUUUGCUAGAUUUAAGAUCUAAACCCCCCUUAGUAUUAGUUUGAGCUCAUUUACAACCACAAAUAAAAACCCCGGGUCUUUUUCGGAUUUUGCGUUGCAAAAACGAGGAUUAAUUCUGCACGCGUUUAACUUAAAUAUACAUUCUUUCGUUUCGUAAUGAAUUUUGUUUUGCUUAAUAAAUUUUGGAUUAGAAUGCACUCUAACUAAUGCGUUCGUUUGUUUUAAAGACUGAGAUGAAAGAGUUCGUAAAUGUUGUUGACCUUGAGUAAAUUUUUGGGAUCUUUUGGUUCGACUUUUCGGUUUAGAUUACACUAAAACUCGCCUUGAGAUCAAGAGCUUCAGGUCGGGCUUCCCUGAUUAAAAUCCACAAACAACCUCCAACUUUUGGAGUGGCGCUAAAGUUGUUUGCAGGCUAAGCAUAAAAAGGUGUUUCAAAUCAAUUGGAUCGUCCAGGGAUUGCGCAAUGUAACGCUCCUGGUACGUUGUGAAAAGAUUAAGCGUUACAAA